GGGGAUUUGGCUCAGCAGCAUGAGCGCCUGCCUUGCAGGCAGGCAGUCAUGAGUUCAAUCCCUG
rnacentral:tRNA from 1 species